ACGAACGCUGGCGGCAUGCCUAACACAUGCCAGUCGAACGAGACCUUCGGGUCUAGUGGCGCACGGGUGCGUAACGCGUGGGAACCUGCCCUUAGGUUCGGAAUAACUCAGAGAAAUUUGAGCUAAUACCGGAUAAUGUCUUCGGACCAAAGAUUUAUCGCCUUUGUAUGGGCCCGCGUAGGAUUAGCUUGUUGGUGGGGUAAUGGCCUACCAAGGCGACGAUCCUUAGCUGGUCUGAGAGGAUGAUCAGCCACACUGGGACUGAGACACGGCCCAGACUCCUACGGGAGGCAGCAGUGGGGAAUAUUGGACAAUGGGCGAAAGCCUGAUCCAGCAAUGCCGCGUGAGUGAUGAAGGCCUUAGGGUUGUAAAGCUCUUUUACCAGGGAUGAUAAUGACAGUACCUGGAGAAUAAGCUCCGGCUAACUCCGUG
rnacentral:rRNA from 1 species